UACGAAGGGGCUAGCGUUGCUCGGAAUCACUGGGCGUAAAGGGUGCGUAGGCGGGUCUUUAAGUCAGGGUGAAAUCCUGGAGCUCAACUCCAGAACUGCCUUUGAUACUGAGGAUCUUGAGUUCGGAGAGGUGAGUGGAACUGCGAGUGUAGAGGUGAAAUUCGUAGAUAUUCGCAAGAACACCAGUGGCGAAGGCGGCUCACUGGCCCGAUACUGACGCUGAGGCACGAAAGCGUGGGGAGCAAACAGG
rnacentral:rRNA from 1 species